rnacentral:rRNA from 1 species
AAAGAGACCUUUAGUUUAAAACCCCGAAACCAGGUGAGCUACCCCGAGACAGCCUAAGUAAUUUAGGGCUAACCCGUCUCUGUGGCAAAAGAGUGGGAAGAGCUCCGGGUAAAAGUGACAGACCUACCGAACCUGGUGAUAGCUGGUUGCCUGAGAAAUGGAUAGAAGUUCAGCCCCGUAUGCCCCGUACCAAAAACAUCAUUUUAAGAUUUAGGGAAACUUAUAGGAGUUAGUUAAAGGGGGUACAGCCCCUCUAACAAAGGAUACAACCUUUACAGGAGGAUAAAGAUCAUAAUAUUUAAAACACACUGUUCUAGUGGGCCUAAAAGCAGCCACCUAAACAGAAAGCGUUAAAGCUCAGACAGAAAGAAGUUUAUUAUAAUGAUAAAAAAUCUUAUUCCCCUAAUAGUAUCAGGCUAUUCCAUGCUCACAUGGAAGAGAUUAUGCUAAAAUGAGUAACAAGAAGACUUGAUCUUCUCCAAGCACAAGUGUACACCAGAUCGGACUAACCACUGGAAAUUAACGAACCCAAACAAAGAGAGUAUUGUGAAUUAUAUAAAAACCAGGAAGACCCCACAAUUAAAUAAUCGUUAACCCCACACUGGAGUGCUAUAAAUUAAGGAAAGACUAAAAGAAAGGGAAGGAACUCGGCAAACAUAAGCCUCGCCUGUUUACCAAAAACAUCGCCUCCUGCAAACAAAUUAAGUAUAGGAGGUCCAGCCUGCCCAGUGACUACGGGUUCAACGGCCGCGGUAUUUUGACCGUGCAAAGGUAGCGCAAUCACUUGUCUUUUAAAUAGAGACCUGUAUGAAUGGCUAAACGAGGGCUUAACUGUCUCCCCCUUCCAGUCAGUGAAAUUGAUCUAUCCGUGCAGAAGCGGGUAUAAUUAUACAAGACGAGAAGACCCUUUGGAGCUUAAGGUACAAAAUUCAACCACGUUAAACAACUAAACAAAGAGGGGGAACUUAGUGGGACCUGAAAUUUUACCUUCGGUUGGGGCGACCGCGGAGGAAAAAUCAGCCUCCGAGUGGAAUGGGCCAAAACCCUAAAACCAAGAGAAACAUCUCUAAGCCGCAGAACAUCUGACCAUUAAUGAUCCGGCCAAACAGCCGAUCAACGAACCAAGUUACCCUAGGGAUAACAGCGCAAUCCUCUCCCAGAGUCCAUAUCGACGAGGGGGUUUACGACCUCGAUGUUGGAUCAGGACAUCCUAAUGGUGCAGCCGCUAUUAAGGGUUCGUUUGUUCAACGAUUAA